CGCCAGACUCCUACGGGAGGCAGCAGUGAGGAAUAUUGGUCAAUGGGCGGGAGCCUGAACCAGCCAAGCCGCGUGAAGGAAGAAGGCGCCAGGCGUCGUAAACUUCUUUUGUCGGGGAACAAAGGGCGCCACGCGUGGCGUUGUGAGUGUACCCGAAGAAAAAGCAUCGGCUAACUCCGUGCCAGCAGCCGCGGUAAUACGGAGGAUGCGAGCGUUAUCCGGAUUUAUUGGGUUUAAAGGGUGCGUAGGCGGGCUUUUAAGUCAGCGGUAAAAAUUCGGGGCUCAACCCCGUCCGGCCGUUGAAACUGGGGGCCUUGAGUGGGCGAGAAGAAGGCGGAAUGCGUGGUGUAGCGGUGAAAUGCAUAGAUAUCACGAAGAACCCCGAUUGCGAAGGCAGCUUACUAAACUGUGACUGACAUUGAUGCUCGAAAGUGUGGGUAUCAAACAGGAUUAGAUACCCGAGUA
rnacentral:rRNA from 1 species